rnacentral:rRNA from 1 species
ACGGGAGGCAGCAGUGGGGAAUAUUGGGCAAUGGGCGCAAGCCUGAUCCAGCGACGCCGCGUGAGUGAAGAAGUAUUUCGGUAUGUAAAGCUCUAUCAGCAGGGAAGAUAAUGACGGUACCUGACUAAGAAGCCCCGGCUAACUACGUGCCAGCAGCCGCGGUAAUACGUAGGGGGCAAGCGUUAUCCGGAUUUACUGGGUGUAAAGGGAGCGUAGACGGUAUGGCAAGUCUGAUGUGAAAACCCAGGGCUCAACCCUGGGACUGCAUUGGAAACUGUCAAACUAGAGUGCAAGAGAGGUAAGCGGAAUUCCUAGUGUAGCGGUGAAAUGCGUAGAUAUUAGGAGGAACACCAGUGGCGAAGGCGGCUUACUGGACUGUAACUGACGUUGAGGCUCGAAAGCGUGGGGAACAAACAGGAUUAGAUACCCUGGUA